rnacentral:rRNA from 1 species
GGAUAAGCGGCGGAAACGCCGUCUAAUACCGCGUGACAACCCGAGGGGGCAUCCCCUUGGGUUCAAAGGAGAGAUCCGGUACCGGCUGGGCAUGCGGCGCAUUAGCUAGUUGGCGGGGCAACGGCCCACCAAGGCGACGAUGCGUAGGGGUUCUGAGAGGAAGGUCCCCCACACUGGAACUGAGACACGGUCCAGACUCCUACGGGAGGCGGCAGUGAGGAAUAUUGGUCAAUGGGCGCAAGCCUGAACCAGCCAAGUCGCGUGAGGGAAGACGGCCCUACGGGUUGUAAACCUCUUUUGCCGGGGAGCAAGCCUGAGCACGUGUGCCCAGGCGGAGAGUACCCGGAGAAAAAGCAUCGGCUAACUCCGUGCCAGCAGCCGCGGUAAUACGGAGGAUGCGAGCGUUAUCCGGAUUUAUUGGGUUUAAAGGGUGCGCAGGCGGGCUGUUAAGCCGGCGGUAAAAAUUCAGGGCUCAACCCUGUCGAGCCGUCGGAACUGGCAGUCUUGAGUGGGCGAGAAGUAUGCGGAAUGCGUGGCGUAGCGGUGAAAUGCAUAGAUAUCACGCAGAACGCCGAUUGCGAAGGCAGCAUACCGGCGCCCAACUGACGCUGAGGCACGAAAGCGUGGGGAUCGAACAGGAUUAGAUACCCUGGUAGUCCACGCAGUAAACGAUGAGCGCUAACUGUCCGGAGCGAGCGAGCUCUGGGU